UGGAUGGAUGGACAUCCGAUCCUCUUCCUCCGCGCGCCUACGCAUUUCGUCGAGCGGCUUGCAGACGCGGUCCGGCCGCCUUCGAGCGCAGCCGCGUGCUUUUCUCAACUGAAUUGGCGGGCGACGGUGUGGUGUGGUGUGGUGUGGCAGCGGCACUCGGCGAGGCGCGUGGAGUUGGCGGGUGGCCUGGAUGAGACGGAAGAGAUCGCGAAGCACUUGGGGGCGGCGCUGUGCCUCCACGCUCCGCCGCCUCUUCGCGGGCCCCUUCACUAUCGUCCUCUCGGCCGCUCCGACCCCAAACCCCGUUCCCGCACAGCGCUCAUCACCACCGCUGCCCACGGCGGUUUCAGCUACUACUACUCCGCUGCCGGCCUCGCAACCGGUGUAUUCCGUCAGUGUUGGGACUAUUCUCAGGGGAAGAGAUGGUUAAGUCGUGAACCAUGACUCCUUCACAGCUAUCGAACUUGAGAUGGCACUGUGAGCUGUUGACAAUCGUGAUACCAGUUACUGUGACAUUGGAACUUCCAUAAAACCUCAACGCCUGCAUCAGAGUUUAAUCUGUGGCAUCUUCUCUAGCUCCACAUUGAACUGUUGGAAAGCACCCAGGUGACUAAAGUUUCUUAGUUGGAAGCGGAUCAUUUCUAAAGCAGUGAUGAUGACCUGAGUAUCAUCUGUAACUCCAUCACCCUUGGCUCCAAAAUCAACCACGUUGAAGAUUGUGUUCUGUGAUGAUGAUGCUGCUACUGCUGCUGGUGGUGGCGGCGGCGGCGGCUGUAGCAGCGGCGGAGAUGGCAGUGUAUAGUCAUUUCCACCACUUGGUGCUGGCAUUGUUGGACUCUGACCUCCUUUGCCCUUGACAGGGCUUCCGCUCGGGGUGAUAGGCACAUUUGGGCUUGGCUGGUAUGGAUUAUGAUUUCCUUUGCUGCUUUGCCUGUGGGAACUGCUGCUCUUUCCUUUCCCUUUUCUCCUCAGCAGAGAGGUGGAGGGUGCAUUAUUUUGCCUCCAAUGCUUGCCACUUCUUGCAUCACAUAAGUGAACGCUGGAGCACAGAAGAACGACAGCGAGAAGCAGGAGGGUAAGGGAGGAAGGAAAGAAGGAAUCAAGGAAGGUGAUAGAGUAUGUGGCUUUGAGGAGGGAAAGAGGGGGGGUGGGGGUUUAAAUAAGGAUCUUCGUGGCCAUCUUUGCUUCAGCGAGGUUGAAGGAAAGAAGGAAAUGGCUUUGGGACCCCAACUCACUUCUCGUGUGGGAAUCAUGGCUUGUAACUUCACAGAGAAAUUAAGGUGUCGUCUUGUUCAUUUGUCACUUUUGUACAUCAACGUCACAGUUUUACCCUUUUGCGAUUUCCUUUAUCGUGUUCUUGUGAGAAUUGGUUGGUAGGAAUCACCCUGAAGGCAUUGGCUCUCGCCACUUGCCAUAAUCCAGAAAAAAACUUGACAAGGCAGCUUACCUGUACCUGUACUAAACUACUGAUGGUUCACGGGGGAAGGAAAGAAAGUGGCAUGUCUCUACUGCCUGUUCGAGUUA